GACGAACGCUGGCGGCGUGCUUAACACAUGCAAGUCAGGGGGCGGGGUAACCCGUCACCGGCGAACGGGUGCGGAACACGUGAGCGACCUGCUCUGGUGUGGGGGAUCGCCGGCCCAACGGCCGGGUAAUACCGCAUACGGCGCCCGCUUGGAAGCGGGAGGCGAAACUCGCAAGAGGCGCUAGGAGGGGCUCGCGGCCUAUCAGCUCGUUGGUGCGGUAACGGCGCACCAAGGCGAUGACGGGUAGCUGGUCUGAGAGGAUGGCCAGCCACAUUGGAACAGAGGGACCGCCGAGACUGAGACGGGAGGCAGCAGUGUGGAAUAGUGCGCAGUGGGCGAAAGCCGGACGCAGCGACGAGGCGUGGAGAAUGAUGCCCUGCGAGGGGUAAACUCCUGUUGGCCGGGACGAACGCCCCGCAUCGGCGAUGUUGACGGUACCGGGUGAGGAAGCACCGGCUAACUCUGUG
rnacentral:rRNA from 1 species